rnacentral:rRNA from 1 species
UACGGAGGAUGCAAGCGUUAUCCGGAUUUAUUGGGUUUAAAGGGUGCGCAGGUUGUUUGAUAAGUCAGUGGUGAAAGUCUGUCGCUUAACGGUAGGAUUGCCAUUGAUACUGUUAGACUUGAAUAUGGAUGAGGUAGGCGGAAUGUGUAGUGUAGCGGUGAAGUGCAUAGAUAUUACACAGAACACCGAUUGCGAAGGCAGCUUACUAAUCCAUCAUUGACGAUGAGGCACGAAAGCGUGGGGAUCAAACAGGA